rnacentral:rRNA from 1 species
CCCAGACUCCUACGGGAGGCAGCAGUGGGGAAUAUUGCACAAUGGGGGAAACCCUGAUGCAGCGACGCCGCGUGAGCGAUGAAGUAUUUCGGUAUGUAAAGCUCUCUCAGCAGGGAAGAAAAUGACGGUACCUGACUAAGAAGCCCCGGCUAACUACGUGCCAGCAGCCGCGGUAAUACGUAGGGGGCAAGCGUUAUCCGGAUUUACUGGGUGUAAAGGGGGCGCAGACGGCAAUGCAAGCCAGGAGUGAAAGCCCGGGGCCCAACCCCGGGACUGCUCUUGGAACUGCAUGGCUGGAGUACAGGAGGGGCAGGCGGAAUUCCUAGUGUAGCGGUGAAAUGCGUAGAUAUUAGGAGGAACACCGGUGGCGAAGGCGGCCUGCCGGACUGUGACUGACGUUGAGGCCCGAAGGCGUGGGGAGCAAACAGGAUUAGAUACCCUCGUAA